GGAGGAGUGGCUGAGUGGCCGAAAGCGGCGGUCUUGAAAACCGUUGUACCUUCGCGGUACCGUGGGUUCGAAUCCUACCUCCUCCGCCA
rnacentral:tRNA from 1 species